rnacentral:rRNA from 1 species
CAGUCGCCGCGGGAAUACGAAGGGGGCUAGCGUUGUUCGGAACUACUGGGCGUAAAGGGCGCGUAGGCGGCCGUUCAAGUUAGAUGUGAAAGCCCUGGGCUCAACCUAGGAAUUGCAUUUGAUACUGUUUGGCUUGAGUUCGGGAGAGGUGAGUGGAAUUCCCAGUGUAGAGGUGAAAUUCGUAGAUAUUGGGAAGAACACCAGUGGCGAAGGCGGCUCACUGGACCGACACUGACGCUGAGGCGCGAAAGCGUGGGGAGCAAACAGGAUUAGAUACCCGGGUAGUCCCUGUCUCUUAUAC